ensembl:lncRNA
GUACUGCCCCACAAUUUGUGGGGUUUUAUAUGGGAUUAUGGGGUUUUAUAUGGGAUUAUGGGGUUAUGUGUGGGAUUAUGGGGUUAUAUGGGGUUCUACAUGGGGAUAUGGGGCCAUUGUGUGGGGUUAUGUGGGGUGAUCUGGGGCUGCUGUCCUACCAGCUGCGAGAGGGGCAGGUACUGCCCCACAGCUUGUGGGGUUUCUAUGGGAUUACGGGGUUUUAUAUGGGAUUAUGGGGUUAUGUGUGGGAUUAUGGGGUUAUAUGGGGUUCUACAUGGGGAUAUGGGGCCAUUGUGUGGGGUUAUGUGGGGUGAUCUGGGGCUGCUGUCCUACCAGCUGCGAGAGGGGCAGGUACUGCCCCAGAACUUGUGGGGUUUUAUGUGGGAUUACGGGGUUUUAUAUGGGAUUAUGGGGUUUUAUAUGGGAUUAUGG